GGAUGAACGCUAGCUACAGGCUUAACACAUGCAAGUCGAGGGGAAACGACAUCGAAAGCUUGCUUUUGAUGGGCGUCGACCGGCGCACGGGUGAGUAACGCGUAUCCAACCUGCCCACCACUUGGGGAUAACCUUGCGAAAGUAAGACUAAUACCCAAUGAUAUCUCUAGAAGACAUCUGAAGGAGAUUAAAGAUUUAUCGGUGAUGGAUGGGGAUGCGUCUGAUUAGCUUGUUGGCGGGGUAACGGCCCACCAAGGCGACGAUCAGUAGGGGUUCUGAGAGGAAGGUCCCCCACAUUGGAACUGAGACACGGUCCAAACUCCUACGGGAGGCAGCAGUGAGGAAUAUUGGUCAAUGGGCGAGAGUCUGAACCAGCCAAGUAGCGUGCAGGAUGACGGCCCUAUGGGUUGUAAACUGCUUUUAUAAGGGAAUAAAGUGAGUCUCGUGAGACUUUUUGCAUGUACCUUAUGAAUAAGGACCGGCUAAUUCCGUGCCAGCAGCCGCGGUAAUACGGAAGGUCCGGGCGUUAUCCGGAUUUAUUGGGUUUAAAGGGAGCGUAGGCCGGAGAUUAAGCGUGUUGUGAAAUGUAGACGCUCAACGUCUGCACUGCAGCGCGAACUAGUUUCCUUGAGUACGCACAAAGUGGGCGGAAUUCGUGGUGUAGCGGUGAAAUGCUUAGAUAUCACGAAGAACUCCGAUUGCGAAGGCAGCUCACUGGAGCGCAACUGACGCUGAAGCUCGAAAGUGCGGGUAUCGAACAGGAUUAGAUACCCUGGUAGUCCGCACGGUAAACGAUGGAUGCCCGCUGUUGGUCUGAAUAGGUCAGCGGCCAAGCGAAAGCAUUAAGCAUCCCACCUGGGGAGUACGCCGGCAACGGUGAAACUCAAAGGAAUUGACGGAAGG
rnacentral:rRNA from 1 species